rnacentral:rRNA from 1 species
GCCUACGGGACGCAGCAGUGAGGAAUAUUGGUCAAUGGUCGGGAGACUGAACCAGCCAAGCCGCGUGAGGGAUGAAGGUACAGAGUAUCGUAAACCUCUUUUGUCAGGGAACAAAGGCGGGGACGUGUCCCCGGAUGAGUGUACCUGAAGAAAAAGCAUCGGCUAACUCCGUGCCAGCAGCCACGGUAAUACGGAGGAUGCGAGCGUUAUCCGGAUUUAUUGGGUUUAAAGGGUGCGCAGGCGGUCUGUUAAGUCAGCGGUCAAAGCCCGGGGCUCAACCCCGGCCCGCCGUUGAAACUGGCAGU